UACAGAGGGUGCAAGCGUUAAUCGGAAUUACUGGGCGUAAAGCGUGCGUAGACGGUUACAUAAGUCGGGUGUGAAAGCCCCGGGCUCAACCUGGGAAUUGCAUUCGAGACUGCGUAGCUAGGGUGCGGAAGAGGGAAGCGGAAUUUCCGGUGUAGCGGUGAAAUGCGUAGAUAUUCGCAAGAACACCAGUGGCGAAGGCGGCUUACUGGUCCGGUUCUGACGCUGAGGCGCGAAAGCGUGGGGAGCAAACAGG
rnacentral:rRNA from 1 species